AUCAGUUGCAGCAUUUGCAUAGUAUGAAGGAGUAACGCAACCAAGUGAUCAAUGUAUUCAAAAAGAGUAGAUGAGAGUGCCUGGCAAAUCCCACUGAUGUGCUUUGUGCGUCUGAACAGAAACCACUGCAGUGAGGCUUGACAUGGUUAUCCCUCAUUCAUUGCCUGGUAAUACAGUGGAGAAACGUUGUAAGACUGUCUGAAUGAGCUCCUGCUGUUGACGGACAUCCACCAGGCUGUGCAGUGACUGCUGACCAAUAAGGGUUGAAAGGACGGGUAGAGGAGUGGAGGUGGACAUGGAGCCCUUUGUGUUCGACUUCGAAAUACAAGAGGACAUGGAGGACUUCUCGAAGGACUGCCAGGCCGUACUGGCAACAUGUGCCCACCCUAACACUCACACUUUCCCUAAAGUUUUGGUAUCAAGGUCUGUGUCUGGCAGUGCAAUGAACUUGCGCACACCUAGUGGUGUUGCGGUAAGCAACCACUUGGCCAACUGAAACAAAGAUGGGAGGCGAAUUAAUUGUUAUUACCAAAAUAUUGUCAGCAUUUCAGUGCAACAGUGUUUAGAUAAGUACCUAAUAAGCUAGUUGAGCCUGUGGGUUUGUAUUCGAUUUACAACGGCUAACACUCAUAAACAAACAAACACACACCCACCCACACACACACACACACACACACUCCCAACAUUUCCUUUGACUCUCCCACACACUCCAAAACAACUCCAGUUGAGAAAAUGUUCUUUUCUAAUCUCACCAUUACGGUCUUCCUGGAUGAUAUCAGAAUAACAGCCACUCUUGGAAAUGUGUAGUAAAUGUUUUAUUUAUGUACACGUUUAUACUUCAGUUGUUUUCAUUUAGUAUUGUGUUUGCUUUCUUAUCUUAACAAAUACGAUGCUUCAGAGGCUGAGAGUGCACAUAGUUAAAUGUCUGCACAUAUGUAAUUAUUCAUAUUUUAAUUAAAAGUUUAUUUUUGUGUUUUUUUUUUGUUUUGUUUGAUUGUCCUGGUCUGUCUUUGGUGGAUUUAAAACUGUGUUUGUCUAAUAAACAAAUUUGAUUUAAUUGAACCAAUUGAAAACAUAGGCUACUUUGGCCU